rnacentral:misc_RNA from 1 species
UGGUGAACCAGCGGAGGGAUCAUUACCGAGUCUUCGUGCUCAAAACAACCCUUCUGUGGACCUGAAUAAAACCGUUGCCUCGGCAGGCGGCCCUACCUACGGGCCAGAUAGCUCAGCUGUCUCUAGGGAGCAACCCUCCCUGAGGCGCUGGCGCCAGCCGCUGGCCCCAAACCAAAACUCUAGUAACUUUUACCUUCUGAGUUUUAAUACAAGAAAUAAAGUCAAAACUUUCAACAACGGAUCUCUUGGCUCUGG